rnacentral:rRNA from 1 species
UACGAAGGGGGCUAGCGUUGCUCGGAAUUACUGGGCGUAAAGGGCGCGUAGGCGGAUACUUAAGUCGGGGGUGAAAGCCCGGGGCUCAACCUCGGAAUUGCCUUCGAUACUGGGUAUCUUGAGUUCGGGAGAGGCGAGUGGAAUGCCGAGUGUAGAGGUGAAAUUCGUAGAUAUUCGGCGGAACACCAGUGGCGAAGGCGACUCACUGGCCCGAUACUGACGCUGAUGCGCGAAAGCGUGGGGAGCAAACAGG